CUUUUGGUCCUGAAGUGGAGAUUAAUUACAAGGGGCGUGUGCUCACCCGCAACCAGCUCCUCUCUCUUCACUGCUUGCUCGCUUUCCUUAUUCAGAGUCACCAAAGGUACGGGGAAUACUGAGAAGGUUCUUAGAACAAAUAUCUCCAGAAAGCUCAUAAAAGGAGUCAUUCCUCCUUUGCUUCCUUUUUCCCAAGGUCACGAUCAAGCAAAAACUUCCUAUUUGCAAGGAGAGGCUGCCUUAGCCUCGAGAGGAGGACAUGUAAAUUACUGACCUUGAAGACACUGCACUACCCUGCGGCACUGCAGACCUUUAAAAAAAAAAAACAACCCAAAAGACCAAUGACGCUAAUAUCAAGUUAAAUCAGCAGGGGGCACAAUUUCUCCACAAUGUGAUUGGAUUUACAGUUUCUGAAGAACUGGAAAUUGUGUUUGCAAUGCCCCAGUUAUUCACUGGUCAGUUCAAAUAUGAGAUAUAAUUGAUGUGCAAGCAAGAAGAGAUAGUAGAGUCAGCGACU
rnacentral:lncRNA from 1 species